AACUGACUAAGCCCUCUGUCCUACUCUCAAAAGCCUGGCUUUCUCUCCUAGUGCACAGGGAACCUUCAGGAGGACUGGGAGACAUUGCUGCCGCUCAGAGAAGGCAGAGACCAGUCACUCGGGACUCAGAUCUGAGCAGCGCCUGCAGAAUCUCCAUGCCGGAGAGCCACACGGGAAGGAAAACUCCCGCAUGAUUCUGCUGAUGAAUGGAUCUUGGUG
rnacentral:lncRNA from 1 species